GUGCCAGCCGCCGCGGUAAUACGAAGGUCCCGAGCGUUGUUCGGAAUCACUGGGCGUAAAGGGAGCGUAGGCGGUGCGGUAAGUCAGAUGUGAAAUCCCGGGGCUCAACCCCGGAACUGCAUCCGAUACUGCCGUGCUAGAGUGAUGGAGAGGUAGCUGGAAUUCACGGUGUAGCAGUGAAAUGCGUAGAUAUCGUGAGGAACACUCGUGGCGAAAGCGAGCUACUGGACAUUUACUGACGCUGAGGCUCGAAGGCUAGGGUAGCGAAAGGGAUUAGAAACCCCGGUAGUCC
rnacentral:rRNA from 1 species